UAGGUUAACGAGGCGAACCGGGGGAACUGAAACAUCUAAGUACCCCGAGGAAAAGAAAUCAACCGAGAUUACCCCAGUAGCGGCGAGCGAACGGGGAGCAGCCCAGAGUCUGAAUCAGCUUGUGUGUUAGUGGAAAGGUCUGGAAAGUCCGACGGUACAGGGUGAUAGUCCCGUACACCAAAAUGCACAGGCUGUGAACUCGAUGAGUAGGGCGGGACACGUGGUAUCC
rnacentral:rRNA from 1 species